rnacentral:tRNA from 1 species
UCACUAAGAAGCUAAACAGGGCAUAGCGUUAGCCUUUUAAGCUAAAGAUUGGUGCCUCCCAACCACCCCUAGUGAAC